CAGGGAAUUAUGUAGAGUAGCUUUGGAAAUCUGAUAAUGAAAAAACUUUGGACUCUUUUAUUUAUGACAUUUUAAACCGCUGUAACGUUUGGGGAAGUUUUCAGCAUUGUACAUGUACUGUUAACCCCGCAUGUAAAAUUUUCUGGGGUAACUCCAUGUGAAUUAAAGGUCAUAUAAAAUGAGUUUAGAUUCAGUCAAGCUGGAUUUGCUGGGAUUUGAAGGUGAUAUCUGGAUCUGCAUGAGGUUGCAAUGGGGGUGCAGGCAUAUGAGGCUGUUGCUCUCAGCCACCCCAUACAGGAUGCUUGCUCGCUCCAUAGGGAGUGCAGUGAGAGAGUUGCCAACGUUAGGUGUUAUGGAUGUCCUCCUGAAUCAUCCUCUAUGGGAAUCCCACAACAUCCCCGGAUAGAAAUCUCUACACCUCAGUGCCAAUUUAUUAACAAGUGUAGUGAGCCCUGGGAGUCCCUCAGAAAAGGGCCAAAUGAAGCCCGAUUACAGCCACUUCAGUUUCUAUGUUUAAGUGCAGUAGGAAAAUGCUCACAGAAGGUCAGGGCAGGACUUGACUACUCCAAACCCUGAAGCUCGUGUCCAGCAUGGGAUGCCAAAGUGUCUGUCUGAUGUCUGGGACAACCCUGCAUCCUCUCCUUGUAGGCCGGCCACCACAGCAGGAAUUAAGGGAUCCUCAAGUCUGCCCAACGUGCCAGGGAGCAGGGCUCUCUGCCAGAAAGUACAGACAGGAUUCCUUUCCAAGGCUGCUGGAUAUGCUGCUUUUGGAGGCAAAGAGCAAAACCUUCAAACCAGCUUGGCCUUUUGCAUUGUGACGCAAAGGUGCUGGCAUGCUGUGGAUCCUGCUGCUGGGCUCAGGGCAGGAGCCCUGGUCCAUGGAUGCCGUAUCUUGAAAGUUUAUUGGGCUCCUCAGGCUUGUCCUUUCUUCAGUAACCUAGGAUGCCUCUGCUGUGCCUGCAACAGGAAGCAUAAAUCAGAGAGGAGAAAUUACUGUUUUCAGUGCAAGACGCAGCGAUUUGGGAGAAGUUUCUCUAAAGGUCAGCAGGAUUCGUGUGCUCUCAAUGCUCUCCCCUAGUCUAAAGAUUUCAAGGGAAAAAAUUCAACACCAGGCUAUGGGAUGUUUCUGGUUUUGCGGGAUACAAGGUCAGUGCAUUUAUGACCUUGUUUUGAGCAGAGGAGUGGAUGAGGUGUGAGAUCCCAGGAACAGCAUUACGCAGAGAAAGACUAGGUGAAGAGGCGUGAAAUUUGGGGUAUAUUGUGACUCUUUGCAAUAUGCCUCUUUAUAUGCACAGCUCUUUUCUUUAAGACUGGGUGGAGAAAUGGAUCCAUUCAUGAGCAUUUGAUAGUAUGGUAGUGUGGGAACAUUGGUUUUCUCUCUGCUCUUUUUCUUUCCCUACACACAGUGUUGGUUUUCCAUCCUUUCCUCCAGAAUACAUGGGUGCAGAGAUGCUGAAAGAGCUCUCUUUAGCUCCUGGUUUUUGUGUCCAAAAUUUGAAAAAAAUGGACAGUGCUUGGAGUUCAUCCCAGCUGGUUCAACUACUAGUUUUCACUGGUGAUAUUAAAUUACAUGCACAUGCACAUCACUAGUGGAAAUAGUGUUAGUUCUUCCUAUAGUCCGUAUAUACAGUUUUUAAAUAACAUGCAAGAGAGGAUUAUUUUCUUGUGGCCUGUUUUUCAGGUAAGUUGAAUACCAGACUUCACAUUUGUUUGUAAUUUAUGUAGACAAGAGUUUUCCUCUGUGAACUGCAGAAUUUCAGAGAUGUUUGAGUGUUCACCUAAUUCAUACUAAAAAUAAUGUAUUUUUAAUGUUGGCAUGUGAACCACAGUAGCAGCACAUGCCGGCUUUACUCCAGCAAACAAAAUCACUUGUUUAUUUCACUGAAACAUUUUAUAUAUAUUGAUGGAAAAUGGACCCUACGUUGUGCUAACUGAACAGUCAGUAAACUAGUAAUGUGAUAUGCUGCCAAAGUAUUGUUUAAAUAGAUUACAGCAGCUUCUUGUGGCUUACUGAAUUUGUUUAUGUGGGUCAAUAUGGCCUAAUUUUUCCUGUUGAAGGUCUUCUCCAAUUAUAACCAUGAAUCAUUUUAGGUGAAUGUGACAAUUCAUAAACAGUUCUACCGCUAUAAAUACCAGGUGUUUAGAAAGUACAACUUAACCUCCAAACACUUACUGCUGUAAUUACCACUGAGUGUCACGGUAGGAUGGGAACAACUGUUGGUGGUGAAGAAUGACGUAUUUUAUUCCAAGUGUGAGUGAGAAGACGUACUUUAUUCCUAGAGUGAGUGACAACAUUGCUGAGAUGCUCGCAGUGCCAGGGGAGCACAUCGGCAGUGAUAAGGUGGAGGAUAGGAAAGCUGUGCUCGUGCACCCGCGGGACACCCCGGUGUCUUUGCCAGCAGCACCUGCCACACAGCAGAGGAGCGGCUCCUGCGCCGGAGAGAUGCUGCGUCCCCCAGGCACCAGGAACAUUGUGCAGUUUGCCAGUCAACAGCAGGGGGGAGAGUUUCUGUGAGAAUCUGAAAAUAGACAGAUUGAAGAUAUCCACAGCCCUGUGUGAGCUGGAUUGUAAACAGCUAAGCUUCUUAAAAAUUUGGUUGGGUUUGCUGUAUUCACAUAUACCUCAGUAAACACGGCAAACACUCCUUGGUUUCCAGAGCAUCUCAAACGUGUGCACUCAGCCACCGGGACUGACCUCACCGGAGCUCUCAAGCGAAGAAGGAUAUGACAAGAUAGAGCAGGACACCAGACUGGCAGUGAAUUGCACAGAAGAGAUGUUCUACAGGAAAAGUCGUGAAACAGGAAGAUAGGGGAGCAGCUUAAGGUCUGCAGUCUGUCCCGUAAGUGCUUUUUGGAGGGGAAGCAGAAAUGCCACUUAUCUGUUGUGUGUACUGUGGGACUCUGUUCCUUCAAUGGUGAAAGGACAAAAUCAUGAAUGCGAAGUGGAUCACAAAGCAAAUAUUGAGAUAUUUUUGAAAAUGAAGUCAGUCAGCUGCAGGGCUGGGCUUCUUCAGUGACGGCGAGGUUGUGCUGGUGCCUGACCAUCAAAGGACUAAAUCAGUGGUUGUAUGGGUGGACUUGGUAAAAACACUGCAGUUGGAUUCAGUUGUGUGGAGUCGUCACAGGCAGCAUAGCACAAAAGCUUCUGGGACAGGCUCGUGGGGGCUGCCUGAGCCGUAGCAGAAUCCUGGCAAGCAGAAGAUGCUCUGCACAUUCUCCAGCACGAGCCUCUGCCAAGUAAUGUAGCAAAGCCCAGUGGUAGUAAGCCUAUGGAUUUCAUAUGGAUUUCAUGCAGCUUUAACAGGCUUCUGCACGGAGAAAGCAUCCUGCCUUUGGCAGAAUAAUAGUUGAAUUACUUGAAGUCCAAUUACAAUCAAAUCUUGUUAAUUUGUGCCCAUAACUGGAGAUUCAGCAAGAAUGACAAAACUUUAGCAAGUUAGAGAGGAAGUGGUACACACAUUUUAAGAAGUGUGGCUAAUGCAUUACAGAAUUCAUUAUCACCUUACAAACUUCUUCACACUCCGGAAAAGGAUGAAUGCUCUUAAUUCAUUUAUUUUGACAAGAUCGGGCUAAACCUUGUUGGAUGUUUACCAUGCAUUUCAGGUAGUAGAGCAGACGUUGCAUGGAGUCUUAAGAGCUUGAAAGUGUGCAUGAAAAAAGCACUCUCUGCAUUUUGCCCUGCCGUGUUUUGAAGCCCUGUGACAGGUCCUGCAGGCUUGUUUGGCUGCCCCUUGGUAAAAUCUGAGCUGAGAAACAUCUAGCAGUGCUGUCAAGAGGAAUCUACAUUUGCUUCAGGGAAAAUACGUGACUCAUCCCUGUGUCCCUGCUACAGCUGUGUGGAGUGAAGUCAAAACCCCCAAGCCUGGGAUGAAGCCAACUUCCAGCAAUACUUCUACAUAUAUUAUAAGUCCAAUACGAAUGCCUACAGACGUUUCGCAGACUGAACUCAGAAACGUACUCCUUGACACCGAGCCACCAUAUUAAAGGUGUUGAAGCACACGUUGUGUAAGCCUGAGGCAAUAUACAGAAUUAAUGAAAGAAACGCUGCAUGCUCUGAGCUUUGUAGACCACAACAUGAAAUGUCUGGAUUUUUUCACACACAAUUUUUCACAACUAUGAAAAUGCUGAUUCCAAGUAUCCUAGUAAAUAGCUAAAUAACAGUCCUUUGACCCUGGUGAGACAAUUCGACACUAAGAGAUUUUUCUUGAAAUUCACAGCUGUUGGCUAUAAGAAAUGGUCUGGGGGUAUUGGCUUUGAAACAGACAUUUUUUUCCCCAUUACAUACUGCUGGUACUACCCUUGAAAGAUGCACUGUGAUGUGAGGUUUUGUACAAAAUGAAUAUUUGAGUUUUGAGCUAUGAAAAAUGGCUUAUUUUUCUGAAGAGUGUGAAGCUCCGAGCUUUUUCUGAAGCUCUGAGCUCACUGGGUUCUACUGAUUGAUAUCCACAGAUGAGCUAGUCCUUAAACCUUAAACCACUCUUCUUCCUGCAAGUAUAAAAUAACAACACGGGCUGUCGGCAGAGUACCAGGUAAAUGUUGCCAUGGGCCCAAGGGCUUUCCAUGUCCCAAGAGCUCUUUUUGGAAGCCAGCAAAUGAAUAUCAAGUGAAAACAUAUUUACUUGAUGCAAACAGCAGUGAGAUGAUGUUUGCAAAUGCCUCCUUCUGUUUCCAAACAGUACAAACAACAAAUUACUGCCUCAGACUGAUUUCCACCAAAUAUAUUUUCACACUUUUCCAUUGUUAGUUGGUUGGCUUUUUUUAAUUUAUUUUGUAUUUUUUUUUUGGAAGGGGCAGGGAGGCUGAGGGCAGGAAGUGAAUGCUUUGUAAGCUAUCCUCAGCUGGAAAAAAGUCAAGAACCAGCAGUAUUUCAAGUCAAUGCAUUUUGAACAGAACUCCGAUAUUACUAGUUGGCCAAUCUUUUUGACUUCAGAUGUUGGUAGAUUUUUUUUUUCCUUUGGCCUGGUCCAUUUGGAUAGCACAGAACUUCAGGAAAUUAGUGAUGCUGCCUUUGAAAACCCUGCCUAUUUUACAGAGAGGAAAUACUUAAAACUCAAUGAUACGAAACUAACUAGAUAUAUUUGAAAUAUUGAUUACAUAUAUCUUCUGGAAUAGGAUAAUGGGAUAUUCCUGGUUGCUAUAUGCAUGUUUAUACGUCUCUGAAAUGUUUGAUUAAUGUGCACCUAAUCUUUCUUUCUGCUAAUAGACCAUCAUAUUUCUUACUAAGAAAUGAAUUAUUCGACCACUGGUACAAGUGGCUGAGAGAAGGCCAUUUAUAAUGCUGCAUCUUCAGCUAAUGUUUCUUUGGCAACUAAUCCUUGACCUGGAAAGCUCUUUCACUGAAAAUGACUAAUAUUGUCAAUUUUAAUUUCUGCUUUGAAUAUGUUUUUCUGAUGGCAGUCUAAUCUAUCCUAAAAUACUUUAUACUUUACAAUAUUAAAAAAACAUACAUAGAAAAUAAACAAAGGAAAACCCUCAUGAAGCAACAUUUGAAUCCUGUUUCUGGAGAUGUUAUCCCAGAACUUUGAACUUAUGCAAAAGCAGUAUAUUGGCAAAAAGAAAGAAAAUAUUUUAAAAAGCAAAAUAGAAUUGACUUAACCUAUCCUUUUCUUUGUUCACAAAAUAAAUUGUCAUUUUAGGCUGGUACUGAUUUUGCUUUCCAUUUUUAUUUUAAGAUUAACUCACAUUUGAAUGCUUUUAUCAUUUUCUGUAUCACUUUUUUGAGCAAUGUUAUUUUUCAUAUUUCUGAAAAUUGCUUAGUUAAGAGAUUCGACAAAUAGCAGGUUGUAAUAACAACAGUUGCUCUCUGCUGGCCUUGUGUCUAUCAGCCCUAGUCUUAUCAUUUGUACACUAUAAGCAGCCCUUCUUCAUACAAUCAUUUUCAAAAUUGCUGUGCUAAACUUUAGGGAACAGGGAUGUUCACCACAUUUGUACACUCAGUCAUGAGCUCAGACAAGAACGCUGAGCAUUAGGCAUGGCAAACAAACCAUGAAAACUUACAGUUGUCAGACUGGAUGACUUUUGCAGAAAAGCUGCAGAGGGUUAGUUUGUUCCUUGGUACCUUUUGUAAGAAAAAAUAAGCAUUUGCAUACAGAUUUUCAAAAGCUUAAAAAAGAUCAAUAGCAAAUAUAACCCAGUGUCACUGAUGUAAAGGGCCAAGCACUCUGAGCUAGGGUCACAGCGCUGAACAGAGGCCUUAGUAUCCAAAUUCUCCUUCCAAUUAGCAACAAAAAAGUGGUAAUUUGCAAUUUCUGUCCACUUUAAUAAACUGUACAGAUUUCAGACUGCCCUGCAUCUGACAUCCAGAGUCUUUUAGAGACUAUCCAGUUGCCACUCAAAAGCAGGAGCAUUUUAAAAUGGGGGCCUUCUUUAAAAAACAGAGAACACCCACUGAAUCUGCAGAUCGGCAAAACCAGCCUGGCAUUUUAGCAUGACUUCAACUUCAGUCUGAGGAAGCCUGAGCCUUUUCUGUAGUAGAAUUUUCUGGAAACGGCAUUCACAAGAAGCAGUAAUGAGUUAUAUGGCAUCUGCUGACUUUGACAUGGAGCUUUUUUGAUCCAUCUUAUGGAUUUAAAUUCUCCCUAUUGUGUUAACGCUGUGACUUUUUGUAAACCACAGGAGUGGAAUUUCAACUGGGACUCUACUCCUACCCUUGGCUCCAGGCCAUAGACCUUCCAAGAGCUAUUGGGAGGUUGAAUGUAAUAAAGAUUACUAUGACUGUCGAAGCAAUGGAUGCAAUCAAUCCCUCAGUAAGUACUGGAAGCCCUGUUAAAACGAAAACUGAGAGAAAGAAGAGUUUUCACAAACUAGCUGUGUAGAAAGAGCAACUACACAGACUAUGCUCACCUGCAAUAGAUGAGCUAAUAACCUCCAGCCCCUCCCUUUGCUUUUGUCCCCCAUUGUUACAUGGGGAGGUGAGCAGGAAUCUCUGGUGGUGAAGAAAAGUCUUUGAUUUACUUUUUUGAACAUGUGAGUUUGUAAUUCAACUACCUGCUCCUGAGUUGAGGGAAAAACAUCUAUGUAUGCUGCUGGAGAAAUGGAGCUCCAUGUUGUCCACUUGGGGACAGUGAGUUCAACAGUGCAAUAUUUCUUCAUAAAAGUGCUUUCUCUCACAUGGAGAAUCUCACGUGCAUUUCCCCA